rnacentral:misc_RNA from 1 species
AUUUGUUUUGAGCUUGCAACUGGUGAUGUCCUUUUUGACCCCCACAGCGGUGACAACUUUGAUAGGGAUGAGGACCACUUAGCAUUGAUGAUGGAGCUUCUUGGAAUGAUGCCGCGCAAGAUUGCCUUAGGUGGCCGCUAUUCUCGGGACUUCUUUAAUAGAUAUGGUGAUUUGAGGCACAUACGCAGAUUGCGUUUUUGGCCCUUGAAUAAGGUUCUCAUCGAGAAGUAUGAAUUCAAUGAAAAGGACGCAAAUGACAUGACCGAUUUCUUGGUCCCUAUCCUUGAUUUUGUCCCUGAGAAGCGGCCAACUGCUGCUCAGUGCCUUCUUCACCCAUGGAUCAGUUCAGGCCCUUGUCUCCUAGAGCCAUCUAUGCCAUCUUGUCAAAAUGAAGCCUUGGAAGGUGUAAACUCCGAAAAAAAAGGAGGGGAGAAGGAUGAGAGGGAGGCAAUGGAAAUAGGAAUUGGGAAUAUUGCAAUCAAUGCAGAUUCUAAAGCAGUAAAAGAUUCUCCAUCUGGUAGUAAUUUUUCCAAGACAGGCAUAGCUAGCUCUGCGAGGUAGGACUCUGGCAUUCAGGACUUGCAAUCUGUCCCUCCUUAUCAUCCAUAUGCAGUGUCCUGCAACAGCAGCUGGUAUUCUUGCAACGCGUGAUUACUUGAGGCUAUGGUUUGAUUUCUAUAGAUUUUGAAAGGGCAAGGAGUGAAAUGAUGCCAUGUGGCUUUGAUGCUACUUCCACUCUGGGCAGAGCAUUGCUUAAAAAAAAAAU